rnacentral:lncRNA from 1 species
AGUAAUUUUGUUGCUAGUUACUGUAUUACUGGAAAAUGUAUUCCUAGGCUUUAAGAUUUGGGAAGCGUGUGAGUCUAACUUCUCAAACAGAAUUUGACAAGGACAUGGCAGCGUUUUAAAAAGUCAGGGAAAGGAAAGAGGUGUGUUCAGCAUUCCUGCCCCAUCUUAACACAUUCUUUUUCUCAUCUUAACAGUGGUAAUAUUUUAUGUUAUUUUGGUUUGAUUUUUGUUUGUGGCAUAUGGCUCUGCUGUCCUACGACUCUAAGUAGAAGAGAAAAUAGUACCAAUAAUUUCCUCGUGGAGAUGCACCUCUCUCUCUUAAGUCUUGAAGAAUGUUUGAGGAAAAGUGCUUUCAGCUGGGCUGAUGAGAACACCUUGGCACUCUUUUCUGCAAUGGGCACUGAUUGAGGGUCUUCCUGGUGUGGCAUCAUCAAAUCCCUGUUGCUCAAACCCACAAAUUAGCUCGUUCUUAUCUACAAGUAGCAGGGGCCCUAAAGCUCUCUGAGAAGAUCUCACACUGUGUCUCCUACAUUUCAUCUUCUAUAAUCUCUUAUUCUUAGAGACAGAAAGAUGGUUAAAAGACAUCACUUCAUUUCUUUCUCUGGAUUUGGAAAGAGUUAUAUAUUGGGAUUAUGCUGUCAGUUUACACUUGCAUUGUUUAAAUUAGAGGAAAGGUUAUUUUGUACAGAACAAAUAAAAAUUACUCUUUAACUACCUUUCAGAAUAUCCCAACUUUUAACAUAAGCUGUUUUGUAAAGGCUGGUUGUAGUGA